UACGUAGGGUGCGAGCGUUGUCCGGAAUUACUGGGCGUAAAGAGCUCGUAGGUGGUUUGUCGCGUUGUCCGUGAAAACUCACAACUCAAUUGUGGGCCUGCAUUCGAUACGGGCAGACUAGAGUUCGGUAGGGGAGUCUGGAAUUCCUGGUGUAGCGGUGAAAUGCGCAGAUAUCAGGAGGAACACCGGUGGCGAAGGCGGGACUCUGGGCCGAUACUGACGCUGAGGAGCGAAAGCGUGGGGAGCAAACAGG
rnacentral:rRNA from 1 species